UGGGGAAUAUUGCACAAUGGGCGAAAGCCUGAUGCAGCGACGCCGCGUGAGGGAUGACGGCCUUCGGGUUGUAAACCUCUUUCAGCAGGGAAGAAGCGAAAGUGACGGUACCUGCAGAAGAAGCGCCGGCUAACUACGUGCCAGCAGCCGCGGUAAUACGUAGGGCGCAAGCGUUGUCCGGAAUUAUUGGGCGUAAAGAGCUCGUAGGCGGUUAGUCGCGUCUGCUGUGAAAACUCGAGGCUCAACCUCGGGCUUGCAGUGGGUACGGGCUGACUAGAGUGCGGUAGGGGUGACUGGAAUUCCUGGUGUAGCGGUGGAAUGCGCAGAUAUCAGGAGGAACACCGAUGGCGAAGGCAGGUCACUGGGCCGCAACUGACGCUGAGGAGCGAAAGCAUGGGGAGCGAACAGGAUUAGAUACCCUGGUAGUCCAUGCCGUAAACGUUGGGCACUAGGUGUGGGGUCCAUUCCACGGAUUCCGUGCCGAAGCUAACGCGUUAAGUUCGCCGCCUGGGGAGUACGGUCGCAAGACUGAAACUUAAAGGAAUUGAC
rnacentral:rRNA from 1 species